CAUCACUGCCUCCAAACAGGAUUGGAGUUUUCUGGCCGGAAUUUGUGUUUGUGCUGAUGAUAGUGUCUGCACUUUAGACAAACAGGAAAUGGCUGUGUAGAAUGACUGACAUGGACAGGACAUCUCCUGUGACGCUGGUAGACUUCAAAAUCAAACUUCAACAAACUAUCUCGUCAUUGAGAGACCAUGACCUGAGUGGCUUUAAACUUUAACCUGUUUAUAGCCAAACUAUGGAAAAAAGGGGAAAGGGAUAGUUGUUUGAUCUUCAGAGGCCAUUUCCACAUCUUACAGCUCUUUCUCAACUUCAAAUGACAAUGCCUCGGGGCGAGCAACUGCCACUGCAGUAAAGACAAAGCCACAUGCCAGAUUGAAGUCAUAGACGUGCCAACAAGGACACGUUUCUGUUGCAUCUCCUCUUCUUCAGGAAGCACUUGGAAAUAAAUCGAGAUGUUAUUCCAGGACAGAAAACACUGUAAGAAUUCCAGACUGCUCCUGAAACUGUAACUUAGUUUAAAAAUAAAGAAAUAAAAUUCUAAUAAAAACUCA